UCUUUCUUGAGGGUGUGUAGUCUUGAAAAAGACUGUUGGUUAUCUUUCUUAGCUUAUAGUUCUCCUUAGAACUAUAAGCUAAAAAAGAUAACCAAUUUU